CAUAGGUUUGGUCCCAGCCUUCCUGUUAACUCUUAAUAAACUUACACAUGCAAGCAUCUACACCCCAGUGAGAAUGCCCUCUAGGUUAUUAAAACUAAGAGGAGCUGGCAUCAAGCACACACCCUGUAGCUCACGACGCCUUGCUUAACCACACCCCCACGGGAAACAGCAGUGACAAAAAUUAAGCCAUAAACGAAAGUUUGACUAAGUUAUAUUAAUUAGGGUUGGUAAAUCUCGUGC
rnacentral:rRNA from 1 species